UGCUAUAUCUUCCAAAGCUAGACCAGAGGUC
rnacentral:piRNA from 2 species